rnacentral:rRNA from 1 species
UGAGGGAAUAUUGGGUCAAUGGACGAGAGUCUGAACCAGCCAAGUAGCGUGCAGGAUGACGGCCCUCCGGGUUGUAAACUGCUUUUAGUUGGGAAUAAAAGAAUGACGUGUCAUCUAUUGUAUGUACCAUCAGAAAAGGACCGGCUAAUUCCGUGCCAGCAGCCGCGGUAAUACGGAAGGUCCAGGCGUUAUCCGGAUUUAUUGGGUUUAAAGGGAGCGCAGGCCGUGGGUUAAGCGUGUCGUGAAAUUCCGUCGCUCAACGGCGGACGUGCGGCGCGAACUGGUCCACUUGAGUACGCGGGACGUUGGCGGAAUUCGUGGUGUAGCGGUGAAAUGCUUAGAUAUCACGAAGAACUCCGAUUGCGAAGGCAGCUGACGGGUAGCGCAACUGACGCUGAGGCUCGAAAGUGCGGGGUAUCGAACAGGAUUAGAUACCCUGGUAGU